UACGAAGGGGGCUAGCGUUGUUCGGAAUUACUGGGCGUAAAGGGCUCGUAGGUGGCCCCAUAAGUCAGACGUGAAAUCCCUCGGCUCAACCGAGGAACUGCGUCUGAGACUGCGGGGCUUGAAUCCGGGAGAGGGAUGCGGAAUUCCAGGUGUAGCGGUGAAAUGCGUAGAUAUCUGGAGGAACACCGGUGGCGAAGGCGGCAUCCUGGACCGGUAUUGACACUGAGGAGCGAAAGCCAGGGGAGCAAACGGG
rnacentral:rRNA from 1 species